rnacentral:lncRNA from 1 species
UUUUUAAGAAGUUCCAGUGUAAUCCUCUGGGCAUCUUUCUCUUGUCCCUUCUUCAGGCUGAAAGCAACAGAUGAAGUUCUACAAGAUGGAAGGCAGACAUGAAGGAAGAAGGAGCUGCACUUGGAAGGAUUAUAUGGAUCUUUGUUAGACAGUCUUAUGGGAAGAAAAGAUUUACUGAAUGAAGAUACUGAAAUUUUAAGGAUAAUGAUAGAAUGUAAGUUCAAUUCUGUCUUUCUCCACUGCUUGCCAAACAUCUAGCACAGGACCUGCCACAGGGUAUGUGCUCACUAUAUAGUU